GUCCAGAAUAGAAUUUUAGUUCAACUUUAAAUUUUCCUAAAGGACACCUAACCCUAAUGAAAGUUUAAAUGUUAUUCUAAAGAGGGACAGCUCUUUAGAAACAGGAUACAGCCUUUUAUAAAGAGUAAGUCAUUUUUAAUCCAUAGUUGGCCUAAGAGCAGCCAUCAAUUAAGAAAGCGUUAAAGCUCAACAAUCAAAAUUAACUUAAUCCUUACAUUAAAAAACGAACUCUUAUAGACCCUAACUGGACUAAUCUAUAAAUUUAUAGAAGAAAUAAUGCUAAUAUGAGUAACAAGAAUUUUAUUCUCCUUGCACAAGCCUAUAUCAGAUCGGAUGCCCGCUGAUAGUUAACAACUAGUAAUAGAAAAACUCUAUAAAUUAAUCCUCUAUUAACUUUUACUGUUGACCCAACACAGGUGUGCACUUUAGGAAAGAUUAAAAGAAGGAAAAGGAACUCGGCAAACUUUAACCCCGCCUGUUUACCAAAAACAUCACCUCUAGCAUUACUAGUAUUAGAGGCACUGCCUGCCCAGUGACAAACGUUUAACGGCCGCGGUAUCCUGACCGUGCAAAGGUAGCAUAAUCACUUGUUCCUUAAUUAGGGACUAGCAUGAAUGGCAACACGAGGGUUCAACUGUCUCUUCCUUCCAAUCAGUGAAAUUGACCUCCCCGUGAAGAGGCGGGGAUAAAACAAUAAGACGAGAAGACCCUAUGGAGCUUUAAUUCUUUAAUUCAAUAUUUUCACAUCUUCACUCUGCAGGAGCCUAACAAAGAAAAUUUCUGAAUUAAAAAUUUUGGUUGGGGUGACCUCGGAGCAAAAACCAACCUCCGAAUGAUCAAAGCCUAGACUCAACAAGUCAAAGCACUAAAAAUCAUAAAUUGACCCAAAUCCUUUUUGAUCAACGGAACAAGUUACCCUAGGGAUAACAGCGCAAUCCUAUUUUAGAGUCCCCAUCGACAAUAGGGUUUACGACCUCGAUGUUGGAUCAGGACAUCCCAAUGGUGCAACCGCUAUUAAAGGUUCGUUUGUUCAACGAUUAAAG
rnacentral:rRNA from 1 species